CAAAGCUGUAAAUAGGGCCAGUUGACUACUCUGCCUAAUGAUCAUGUUUUACCGUAAUUGGCAGCUUUGCCCUGUGACCCAUAUUCCCAGUCUCCAGGCUGACUAAGCAGGAUAGGAAUGGUCCUGAACCCUCCAAGACAAGGCUGGAUAUUGGUUGUACUGGAGCUGGUUAGAUAUAGUAUGGGCAUUGGUUUUGAUGACCGGAAGUGCAAUAUCCAAACAUCCUUACAUUACCCACUAUGAUUCACUGUACAGAGCUUUAGCUCACAAUCUAAUCAUCUGUCCUUCAUGUAAUAUGCAUUUUUAUCCUCUACCUUAUUCUGUGACCACAUCAUUCACAAAGGUCACAUUCUGCGGAGAGACAAAGGGACGUAUUUUAUGUGUCUGGGGGUCUUAUAGAUGAUGCCUUCGCUGUAGCAGUGCCAUGAGCAAUAAAACCAAAAAAUAAACUUCCACAUCUGAAACUCCCCUGGUACAUUCAGAAGAUGAGGCUUAGGCUACCAAAAUAAUAUAUACAAGGACUGCAUCAUUCUGCU